AAAUUUGUUUGGUGCAGAUCCCCUUCUAAUUAUAGUAUACUCGUAACUGACUGUUUAGAAUCAUCUAUUAUCGUAGGCCCGAUAAUGUCAUGUAUGCAUGGAUGACUAAGAUAUAGCUCUUGAGCUUCGC
rfam:Populus trichocarpa isolate Nisqually-1 chromosome 2, whole genome shotgun sequence.